CGCAUAUACCAAUUUUAAUGACUUUUAUUUAAAUAAAUUUAACUAUUAAAUUAUUUUUAUAUAAUUUUUAUUUAAUUAAUAAUUAGACUUAUAAAACUAUAUAAAAAUAUUAAAAAAAGUAAAAUUUAUUAUAAAAUAUUUUUAUAUCCGCAGCAUCGCGCGGGUAUUUCACUAGUAUUCAAUAAAGAGAUGGCCAUCCAAGUUACCCCGAAUAAGAUAUAAAAUAUAAUUUUUGUUAUGAGGCUAUUUAUAUCCAUAAGAAUCUUAUUCGAUAUAUCUCUUCAAUUUAUUCAAGAUGCUUGUCUUAUUU
rnacentral:lncRNA from 1 species